GACAAUGGUGACACGAUGGUGGUGACACAGCGGUGGUGGCACAGUGGUGACAGCGGUGGCACAGCAGUGGUGACAGUGGUGACAAUGAUGGUGACAGCAGCGACACAUUGAUGGUGACAAUGGGGUGACAAUGGCUGUUCCUCAGGCGGUGUCGGGGGUGGCCGUGACGCGGUGGUGGUGGCACGGUGACAUCGAUGGUGACAGCGGUGACACAGCAAUGGUGGCAUGAUGACAGUGAUGGUGACACAGCGGUGGUGGUGGCACAGUGACAGCGAUGGUGACACAGCGGUGGUGGCACAGCCACAGUGGAGGUGACAGUGGCACUGUGGUGACAACAGCCGCGCAGCAAGGUGACAGAGUACCGUGUCCCUGUCCCCCGUCCCCUGGGCCGCCUGUUGCUGCUGCAGGUGCACAAGGGGCCCUGUGGGGGUCUCCCCGAGAGCUCCUGGUACCUGGAGAGCGUCACCGUGUGGGGACAGCGCGGGGACACCCCCGGGAACACCCCCGGGGACAGUGACGGUGACAGCGACGGUGACAGCGACGGUGACAGUGAUGGUGACAGCGAUGGGGACAGCUGGGACGAGGAGGAGGAGGAGGAGGAGGAUGAAGGUGACAGCGAGGAGGAGGUGGCAGAGGAGGAGGAGGAGGAGGGGACAGGUGACAGCGAGGAGGUGACAGAGGAGGAGGAGCUGGAGGAGGAGCCUGAGGACAGCGCGAGUGACAUCGGCACUGCCAGCACAGGUGACACCGAUGACGUCGCUGACCUGGGGCCCUUCCACUUCCCGUGCUACCGCUGGCUCGAGGGGUACAACACCUGGGAGCUGCCCGAGGGUACAGGUGAGCACACCUGGGACACCUGGGGACACCGGGGGACAGCUGGGGGGACACCGGGUGACAGCUGGGGACACACCUGUGACACACCUGUUCACACCUGUCGAUGUCACCGCAGCCACCACGCCGGCCAUGGAGCGACACCCGCGGCUGCAGCGGCAGCGCCGCCGACACCUGGUGCAACAGCGCCGGCGCUACAGGUGAGGGGAGGGGACAGCUGGGGCUGGCACCUGGGGAGGGGGGGUGACAUCGCCGGGUG
rnacentral:lncRNA from 1 species